rnacentral:lncRNA from 1 species
UAUCUCGAACCUUUUUUCAGUUUCCUUGGAACCACUGGUUUUUUACUGCUGAUAGACACAGAUGCACACAAACUUACAAGGAGAAACAAAUGCAUUGUUUAUUUGACACUAUAACCUAUAAAUGCAUUGUUUAUUUGACACUAUAACCUAUCUAAAAUCUUUGACACUGGAUUUGAGAAUGUUUGUUACUAUUGUAGUUAGUUUUUAAUGUCUUCAUGAGGAACUCCUCAUAUGUUCUUGGUAGUAAGAUGUUUGAUCAUGCAAUCAUUACAACUUCAAAAUUACAUGAAAAGAAUGUACUUCCAUGGAAGUUAUAAGUAAAUGUUUGAACUCCAUUGUGAUGGGGUCAGCCAGCUGCACGUCCAUGUGAUGGGGUCAGCCAGCUGCACGUCCAUUUUUCUUGUACUGGUGAAUGCGUGUCUUUUUAGCUCACAAAAUCCUACUGUCUAAAGAGAAUUCAAGAUCAGUUUUUUGUCUAAAAGAUUCAACCUUACUCUGGAUAUAAUUUCCACUCUUAAUCUGGCACCAGUUAUGUCAAUCAUUAUAAUUCUAGAGUCAUUAUUCCUUAAUUAGUUUCUAAGCUCUUUGAAUAGCAUUUACUGCAAGGCUUUUGAGAAUCAAUCUCAUGCUGUACACAUUUAUUUUGGCUGUGUUUUUAUUAUUUUUAUGCAAUUGGUUGCUUAUUUGUAAGUACUAGAAGGCUGCU